GAUGAAGAACGUAGCGAAAUACGAUAAGUAAUGUGAAUUGCAGAAUUCAGUGAAUCAUCGAAUCUUUGAACGCACAUUGCGCCCGCCAGUAUUCUGGCGGGCAUGCCUGUCUGAGCGUCAUUUCAACCCUCAUGCCCCUAGGGCGUGGUGUUGGGGAUCGGCCAAAGCCCGCGAGGGACGGCCGGCCCCUAAAUCUAGUGGCGGACCCGUCGUGGCCUCCUCUGCGAAGUAGUGAUAUUCCGCAUCGGAGAGCGAUGAGCCCCUGCCGUUAAACCCCCAACUUUCCAAGGUUGACCUCAGAUCAGGUAGGAAUACCCGCUGAACUUAAGCAUAUCAAUAAGCGGAGGA
rnacentral:misc_RNA from 1 species